rnacentral:misc_RNA from 1 species
GCGGGUGUGUCGGCAGUCC